rnacentral:rRNA from 1 species
UAGGGAAUCUUCGGCAAUGGGGGGAACCCUGACCGAGCAACGCCGCGUGAGUGAAGAAGGUUUUCGGAUCGUAAAGCUCUGUUGUUAAGGAAGAACGAGUGUGAGAAUGGAAAGUUCAUGCUGUGACGGUACUUAACCAGAAAGGGACGGCUAACUACGUGCCAGCAGCCGCGGUAAUACGUAGGUCCUGAGCGUUGUCCGGAUUUAUUGGGCGUAAAGCGAGCGCAGGCGGUUAGAAAAGUCUGAAGUGAAAGGCAGUGGCUCAACCAUUGUAGGCUUUGGAAACUGUUUAACUUGAGUGCAGAAGGGGAGAGUGGAAUUCCAUGUGUAGCGGUGAAAUGCGUAGAUAUAUGGAGGAACACCGGUGGCGAAAGCGGCUCUCUGGUCUGUAACUGACGCUGAGGCUCGAAAGCGUGGGGAGCGAACAGG